UUUUGUGUUUUAGGCUCGAUGGUCUAGCUGUGCUUUACGUGUUUUGUGCUUGUCUUUGUUUAUUCUUGAUGCCUGUGAUGGUGUUAAAUAUACUUUGAGAGAUUAAUCUCUAGGAAAAAGAAAUCGAAUCUGAGAUUUUUAUUGAUGAUUAUCACCGAGCCGAGUAUCACCAAUGUCUUACGCUAACAGUAAAUUGUUAAAGACAUGAGUUGUGUCUGCUUAUUUGCAUUGAAGGUUUGUUCUGUUCUAGCUCUUCUUGCAACCCCUCUUGCAGGAAACUUCACGUGACAAAUGAAGCUGACAGCUAUCUAGUAACAAGAUUCUGAAGGGGAUUUAAGUUUUUUUUGUAUGUUGAGAGAUAUUAUUCCAUGGCUAUGUAUUUCAUAUUGAAUUGUAAUCACAUAUUGCAGAACAUUUGUUCUCUUUGAAUAUAAUCGAUAGUUCAAUAUCAUUAA